GGGCGGAAGCCUGAUGCAGCGACGCCGCGUGAGGGAUGACGGCCUUCGGGUUGUAAACCUCUUUCAGUAGGGAAGAAGCGAGAGUGACGGUACCUGCAGAAGAAGCGCCGGCUAACUACGUGCCAGCAGCCGCGGUAAUACGUAGGGCGCAAGCGUUGUCCGGAAUUAUUGGGCGUAAAGAGCUCGUAGGCGGUUUGUCGCGUCUGCUGUGAAAGCCCGGGGCUCAACCCCGGGUCUGCAGUGGGUACGGGCAGACUAGAGUGCAGUAGGGGAGACUGGAAUUCCUGGUGUAGCGGUGAAAUGCGCAGAUAUCAGGAGGAACACCGAUGGCGAAGGCAGGUCUCUGGGCUGUUACUGACGCUGAGGAGCGAAAGCAUGGGGAGCGAACAGGAUUAGAUACCCUGGUAGUCCAUGCCGUAAACGUUGGGCACUAGGUGUGGGGGACAUUCCACGUUUUCCGCGCCGUAGCUAACGCAUUAAGUGCCCCGCCUGGGGA
rnacentral:rRNA from 1 species